AGCGAACGCUGGCGGCAGGCUUAACACAUGCAAGUCGAGCGGGCGUAGCAAUACGUCAGCGGCAGACGGGUGAGUAACGCGUGGGAACAUACCUUUUGGUUCGGAACAACACAGGGAAACUUGUGCUAAUACCGGAUAAGCCCUUACGGGGAAAGAUUUAUCGCCGAAAGAUUGGCCCGCGUCUGAUUAGCUAGUUGGUGAGGUAACGGCUCACCAAGGCGACGAUCAGUAGCUGGUCUGAGAGGAUGAUCAGCCACAUUGGGACUGAGACACGGCCCAAACUCCUACGGGAGGCAGCAGUGGGGAAUAUUGGACAAUGGGCGCAAGCCUGAUCCAGCCAUGCCGCGUGAGUGAUGAAGGCCCUAGGGUUGUAAAGCUCUUUUGUGCGGGAAGAUAAUGACGGUACCGCAAGAAUAAGCCCCGGCUAACUUCGUGCCAGCAGCCGCGGUAAUACGAAGGGGGCUAGCGUUGCUCGGAAUCACUGGGCGUAAAGGGUGCGUAGGCGGGUCUUUAAGUCAGGGGUGAAAUCCUGGAGCUCAACUCCAGAACUGCCUUUGAUACUGAGG
rnacentral:rRNA from 1 species